GUUCCUGUAGCGCAAUGGAUAGUGUGUUGGACUUCUAAUCCAAAGGUUGUGGAUUCGAAUUCUUCCUGGGAUG